GACGAACGCUGGCGGCGUGCUUAACACAUGCAAGUCGAACGGAAAGGCCCUGCUUUUGUGGGGUGCUCGAGUGGCGAACGGGUGAGUAACACGUGAGUAACCUGCCCUUGACUUUGGGAUAACUUCAGGAAACUGGGGCUAAUACCGGAUAGGAGCUCCUGCUGCAUGGUGGGGGGUGGAAAGUUUCGGCGGUUGGGGAUGGACUGGCGGCUUAUCAGCUUGUUGGUGGGGUAGUGGCUUACCAAGGCUUUGACGGGUAGCCGGCCUGAGAGGGUGACCGGCCACAUUGGGACUGAGAUACGGACCAGACUCCUACGGGAGGCAGCAGUGGGGAAUAUUGCACAAUGGGCGGAAGCCUGAUGCGACAACGCCGCGUGCGGGAUGACGGCCUUCGGGUUGUAAACCGCUUUCGCCUGUGACGAAGCGUGAGUGACGGUAAUGGGUAAAGAAGCACCGGCUAACUACGUG
rnacentral:rRNA from 1 species